rnacentral:rRNA from 1 species
ACGCUGGCGGCAGGCCUAACACAUGCAAGUCGAGCGGUAGAGAGAAGCUUGCUUCUCUUGAGAGCGGCGGACGGGUGAGUAAUGCCUAGGAAUCUGCCUGGUAGUGGGGGAUAACGUUCGGAAACGGACGCUAAUACCGCAUACGUCCUACGGGAGAAAGCAGGGGACCUUCGGGCCUUGCGCUAUCAGAUGAGCCUAGGUCGGAUUAGCUAGUUGGUGAGGUAAUGGCUCACCAAGGCGACGAUCCGUAACUGGUCUGAGAGGAUGAUCAGUCACACUGGAACUGAGACACGGUCCAGACUCCUACGGGAGGCAGCAGUGGGGAAUAUUGGACAAUGGGCGAAAGCCUGAUCCAGCCAUGCCGCGUGUGUGAAGAAGGUCUUCGGAUUGUAAAGCACUUUAAGUUGGGAGGAAGGGCAGUUACCUAAUACGUGAUUGUUUUGACGUUACCGACAGAAUAAGCACCGGCUAACUCUGUGCCAGCAGCCCGCGGUAAUACAGAGGGUGCAAGCGUUAAUCGGAAUUACUGGGCGUAAAGCGCGCGUAGGUGGUUAGUUAAGGUUGGAUGUGAAAUCCCCGGGCUCAACCUGGGAACUGCAUUCAAACUGACUGACUAGAGUAUGGUAGAGGGUGGGGGGAAUUUCCUGUGUAGCGGU